GACGAACGCUGGCGGCGUGCUUAACACAUGCAAGUCGAACGGAAAGGCCCUGCUUUUGUGGGGUGCUCGAGUGGCGAACGGGUGAGUAACACGUGAGUAACCUGCCCUUGACUUUGGGAUAACUUCAGGAAACUGGGGCUAAUACCGGAUAGGAGCUCCUGCUGCAUGGUGGGGGUUGGAAAGUUUCGGCGGUUGGGGAUGGACUCGCGGCCUAUCAGCUUGUUGGUGGGGUAGUGGCUUACCAAGGCUUUGACGGGUAGCCGGCCUGAGAGGGUGACCGGCCACAUUGGGACUGAGAUACGGCCCAGACUCCUACGGGAGGCAGCAGUGGGGAAUAUUGCACAAUGGGUGGAAGCCUGAUGCAGCAACGCCGUGUGCGGGAUGACGGCCUUCGGGUUGUAAACCGCUUUCCCUCAUGACGAAGCUUUGUGUGACGGUAGUGGGUAAAGAAGCACCGGCUAACUACGUG
rnacentral:rRNA from 1 species